rnacentral:rRNA from 1 species
GACGAACGCUGGCGGCGCGCCUAACACAUGCAAGUCGAACGAAGCAGAGAGCUUGCUCUCUGCUGAGUGGCGGACGGGUGAGUAACACGUGAGCAACCUGCCUAUCAGAGGGGGACAACAGUUGGAAACGACUGCUAAUACCGCAUAACGUUGACGGAAGACAUCUUCUGUCAACCAAAGAUUUAUCGCUGAUAGACGGGCUCGCGCCCGAUUCGAUAGUUGGUGAGGUAACGGCCCACCAAGUCGACGAUCGGUAGCCGGACUGGGAGGUUGAACGGCUACAUUGGGACUGAGACACGGCCCAGACUCCUACGGGAGGCAGCAGUGGGGGAUAUUGGACAAUGGGGGAAACCCUUAUCCAGCGACGCCGCGUGAGGGAAGAAGGUUUUCGGAUUGUAAACCUCUGUCAGCGGGGACGAUAAUGACGGUACCCGCGGAGGAAGCCACGGCUAACUACGUGCCAGCCGCCGCAGUAA